rnacentral:rRNA from 1 species
AUUGAACGCUGGCGGCAUGCUUUACACAUGCAAGUCGAACGGCAGCGCGGGCUUCGGCCUGGCGGCGAGUGGCGAACGGGUGAGUAAUGCAUCGGAACGUGCCCAGUAGUGGGGGAUAGCCCGGCGAAAGCCGGAUUAAUACCGCAUACGACCUGAGGGUGAAAGCGGGGGACCGAAAGGCCUCGCGCUAUUGGAGCGGCCGAUGUCGGAUUAGCUAGUUGGUGGGGUAAAGGCUUACCAAGGCGACGAUCCGUAGCUGGUCUGAGAGGACGACCAGCCAAAGUGGGACGGAGACACGGCCCGGGCUCCUACGGGAGGCGGCGGGGGGGAAUUUUGGAAAAGGGGGGCAACCCGGAUCCAGCCAUGCCGCGGGCGGGAAGAGGGCCUUCGGGUUGUAAACCGCUUUUUUUGGGGAAGAAACCCUUGGGGCUAAUACCCCGGGGGGAUGACGGUACCGGAAGAAUAAGCACCGGCUAACUACGU